AAUCAUCAACCUCACAUGCUUUUGUGUGCGAGGCUUGGACUUGGAGGGUCGUGCCGGCGCGAGUCGGCUCCUCUUGAAUUUAUUAGCUGGACUAUGGGUCCGGUCGCACGGUGUGAUAAUUAUCUGCAUCGUCUUCCUCCCUGCGGAUCAGCUUCGAACCGUCUCCUGCGGGGACAAUUCAUUUGAC
rnacentral:misc_RNA from 1 species